GAGAGUAGAGGCGCGGUGUUGAAGAGUAGCAUACGGCGGGAGGGCUUCACGGGUCUGGGCCGUUUGCGAAAGGCACCACCGCCGAAGAGCGCCGAGGUGUAAGGCGGCUCUGGGCGGAGGGAGAACAUCUCUUCGACUGUCGCGCAAGCGGAGAGCUACUG
rnacentral:ncRNA from 1 species